AUAAAAACCUUCAAAUUUAUACUAUCAACAAAAACAAUGUAGAUGAAAAGUAAAACAAGAACUCACCUGAACAAAAGCGUCCACUGUCGAUUCUCCUCCUCCUCCUCCUCUACAAACACAUUCAACUACCUCCAAGUCAUUUACUCUUUCACAUAUUGGAUCCUUUUCUGUCCAACUUAUUUUAGAGUAAUAACCGACAUAUUCUAGUCGAUUUUGAGUUUGGUCAGCUUGUCAAGGCAGCCAGAGGUCAAUGAAAGCUCUUGGAGCUGACUUUUUUUAGAACCAUGAAGCCUAAUUGAGAAUGAGUGAGAACGAAGGUGGUGGCGGUGACUAGAAGAAACCAGAUCUGCCAGCUGGGGAAACGAUGAUGACUCCGUGAUUUCUGAUCAGGAAAGCGAAUCCGAUGGAGAUCUGCUUCAGAUCCAGUGGAAAAAAAUCUUGUGGUUGGUGAAACGAGAUCGGGAAAUGAGAUGUUGUGGCCAGUGAAAUGAUAUAUUCUAGUCGGUAUAAUUAGAUCUGUUGACAGUUAACGAGGAUAAGAAGUAGAGGGGUAUAGUUUCUGAUGGUAGGAGGCGUAAAGAGGUGAUGGGCAAGCAGAUCCAAAGAGAAUGAAAAGGUAGCCGUCCGGUGGUUCCGGUGAUCUUACGGUGGUUACAGAGGUUCUGACGGUAGUUCCAGAAACGUUACGGUGGACCCGGUGAUAGUUCCUAUAGAAUUAUGGUGGUUCCGACGGUUUUGGUGGUGGAGUUCCAAGUGAGAUGUAAUAUUAUGUGGGUUAGGUAUGAUGGAGUGGGUUACUCUUUUUUUUAUUAUCUAAAUAAUAAAUUCAUAAAUAAUAAAUAAAGUAUUAUAUGAAUAAAUGAUAAAUUUCUUUUUUCAAA